rnacentral:misc_RNA from 1 species
GUGAAUCAUCGAAUUUUUGAACGCAAAUUGCGCUUCCCGGCAUUCUAGGAAGCAUGCCUGUUUGAGGGUCAGUUUUAACAACAAAUCGGUUUGGUUGUUAAGUGUGACGUUUCCGGAGUUUGGGCAAUCUUAGUUUUUGUGGCUAAGGGGCUUAAUAUCGACCUUUUUUGCGCAUUUUUAGAUGUAAAUAAAUUUUUUUUU